GAGUUUGAUCUUGGCUCAGGACGAACGCUGGCGGCGUGCUUAACACAUGCAAGUCAAGGGGGCCCGCAAGGGUAACCGGCGAACGGGUGCGUAACACGUGAGCAAUCUGCCUAGAUGUGGGGGAUAGCCGGCCCAACGGCCGGGUAAUACCGCAUACGCUCACUGGGUGGCAUCACCUGGUGAGGAAACAUUCGUGGCAUCUAGAGGAGCUCGCGGCCUAUCAGCUAGUUGGUGGGGUAACGGCCUACCAAGGCUUUGACGGGUAGCUGGUCUGAGAGGAUGGCCAGCCACAUUGGGACUGAGAUACGGCCCAGACUCCUACGGGAGGCAGCAGUGGGGAAUAUUGCGCAAUGGCCGAAAGGCUGACGCAGCGACGCCGCGUGGGGGAUGAAGCAUUUCGGUGUGUAAACCCCUGUUGCUCGGGACGAACAACUGGUUUCGACCAGUCUGACGGUACCGGGUGAGGAAGCACCGGCUAACUCCGUGCCAGCCGCCGCUGUAAC
rnacentral:rRNA from 1 species